rnacentral:tRNA from 1 species
GGAAUGUAGCUCAGUGGUAGAGCAUGUGUUUAGCAUUCCCAAGGCCCUGGGUUCAAUCCCCAUCACCA